rnacentral:rRNA from 1 species
CCUACGGGAGGCAGCAGUGAGGAAUAUUGGUCAAUGGGCGAGAGCCUGAACCAGCCAAGUCGCGUGAAGGAUGAAGGAUCUAUGGUUUGUAAACUUCUUUUAUAUGGGAAUAAAGUGCGGCACGUGUUCAUUUCUGUAUGUACCAUAUGAAUAAGCAUCGGCUAAUUCCGUGCCAGCAGCCGCGGUAAUACGGAGGAGGCGAGCGUUAUCCGGAUUUAUUGGGCUUAAAGGGUGCGUAGGCGGUGCAUUAAGUCAGCGGUGAAAGUUGCGGGCUCAACCAUACACUUGCAGUUGAAACUGGUUGACUUGAGUAUACUUGAGGUAGGCGGAAUGCGUGGUGUAGCGGUGAAAUGCAUAGAUAUCACGCAGAACCCCGAUUGCGAAGGCAGCUUGCUAGACUAUGACUGACACUGAGGCACGAAGGCGUGGGGAUCAAACAGGAUUAGAUACCCGAGUAGUC